ensembl:lncRNA
GUACUAUUCUAGGUGUAGGAAUUAAGUUAUUACAUUAUAUUUAACGGAAACCUUGGACUUGAUUUGGGUUUGACAGUAACUCAGUUCUAAUAUUUUUUUUUUUGCCAUCAUAGUUGCUGUGUUAAAUAAAGGCUUAUUUUUCCUUUAGGGCUAAUUAUCACUUGGGCUGCUUUUGGCUGCAAAUAACAGAAGACUUAAAAUGGCUUAAACAAUAAGGUUUUUUAUUGUUCCACAUAACAAGAAGCCUCCAAGUAUUACCAUGUCAUCAAGUAUCCAGGCUUUUGGUUGCUACAGCUGUAGGCAUCAUGUCUGCACGAAACCAUGUUCAAAUGGGGGAAGUUUUCCUGUGGACGCCUUGAUGGUAAGCCUAGACCUCUCUGGGUGUGAGGGGAAGAGUUUCCUGAAGAGUGACCUUAUUCUUCCAUCAGCCACCCAGAAGAGAGGUGAGUCCAUCCUUAGGUAGGAGUUUUAUUAUUUUUUGGGGGGUUUUAUUAUUUUAUUUUUUUAAGGUUUUUGGAGAGAGAGAGCACCCAUGUGUGCAUGAGCAAGGGGGAGGGGCAGAGGGAACAGCUGACUCCCUGCUGAGCAGGGGUCCCAAUGAGGGGCUCCAGCCCAGGACCCUGAGAUCAUCACCCAAGCCCAAGGCAGGUGCCCAGCUGACUGAGCCACCCAGGCACUCCAUGGAGGUUGGUAACUUUUAGAGGUAACUUUUUUUUUAGAGGCAACUUUUCUCCAACCAGUAUUUCUGUAUCAUGAAGUGUUUCAUGGUGGUUCCUAGUGACGACUGUUUAAGGGCACUAUCCCUGGAGAAACCUUAACCAACCCUACUGGUGGGGUUGCUGACCUAAGUUUCAAAGAUUUCCAGGUGAUUUUGGUGUGUUCUCUUGUAGGUAAGAAACAGCCUCCCCGUGUUUCUGUAUCUAUGUUUAGUUUCUGGGCUCUCUAUUCUGUUCCAGGGGAUAACUGGUCUGUGCCAUUUCUACACAUCUCACAUCUUAAUUACUAAAGUUUUAUAUUAAGUCUUGGUACUUGUUGGGAAAGUUUUCUCUUUAAGGAAGGUCUUCCUUAUCAUUGGGUCUUGGCACUUCCCUAUCAAUUUUAGAAUAAGUUUGUUGAUUUCCCCCACAAAAAUACUGUUGAGAUUUUUUUUGGUUCUUUGUGUAGAUCAACUUGGAGACAACCAACCACAGUUUUGGUAUUUAAGUCUUAUUAUCCGCAAACGUGAUAUAAUUUCUCCAGGCUGUCAAUGUUUCACUUAUGUUAUAAACUCCAUACAGAUCUUGUAAAUAUUUUCCCACUAUUUUUUUUUACACAUAUGCAAAGUUAUACAUGUGACUGAGUCUGUCCCUAGGCUCUGUGUCCUGUGCCAUUGAUCUACUCGUCUUUUCCUCUUCCAAACUACUGUGUUUGAAUUCUGUGGCUCUGAGGUAAUUGCUCAAUAAGUCUGUUAUUUUACAGGGAAAGUUUGCUCCCACCCCCUACCUACAGGCAGAAGUUUGCCAACCCCUGGUUUAAGUGAUCAUGAUCCAUGUUUGAAUAUAGGCCCCUAGAAUCAAGUUUCUCAAGCAGGCAUUAAAAAUAAGCUUUUCAGCUGAUAUACAGCUGCAGAGUUUUAAAUUUCAUUUAGAUUUGGCACACCACUUUCUUCAAAAGUAUUUAUUUCCACAAAUUUUUAUCCACAGCUGAAUAUUAUAGUAACUAAUACAAGCAUCUUUUUCUAUAAACAAAGGUGUACUUUACAGAUUUGUUCAAAAUGAAAAAAUAUUUUUAUCAGUAGUAUUUCUUCUUACAAUGUUAGAUUUACUCCGGCAUAUCAUGUGAACCCUCUUAGGAGAAGCAGUCCUUCACCUAAAUAAUAGUUGCUGGCAAAAUGUUAUAUCCAAAUCUGGGUUAUUCUGUUAUAGUAUCAUCUUAGAAAGUAGCUUAAAAUCAUUUGAUUGAUUGCUUUAUUAGAAUUAGAAAUUUCUUUAGGAAAACCAAUACUUAGUAUCAACCUAAUAAAAGAACAGUCCUAUAUUUGUCA